CGGUUGUGGGUAUAUUUAUAUUAUAUAUUUGGGCCCAUCAUCGAACGCGCAACGGUAAAUCGUCGACAAAAAGAAGCAAAGCUGCAGUUACAACGUUUCGAUGAACCAUCCGGUGUCGAUUACAUCGCGAUACCAUGAUGCCGUGUGUAUUGCGUUCCGCCGAGCGACAACAGUCAUUACACAGCAGUGUGCCGUUCGAUUACUCCACAAAAAGUAAAGACGGAAAAAGAUUAAUGAAUAUUACUCGUGUUUUGAAUCGUGAGCAGUGCAUUUUAUUAUUCUACACGUUACACAGAUGGUGCUGCAUCAAAUGCAACUGAACCGAUCGGUUACCAAUAAAACGGUGUUGACAUCUUCCUGUGAAAUAGUAUAGUCCAUUAAUAAACGGACGGCCGAGAGCUUUCGGAACAGUUCUCGCUAAACUAGAACGCCGCAUCGAAGUGCUACCGGGUGUACGACGAUACGAAAUUAGCACAUUGCUAUUGCGUGUUGUAUGUACACAUAAAUCGAACAGACUACCGAAUGAUAUUUCAUUUCAUCCUGUAUCAGUAUGAUAUUUAAACUUUAUAGUGGCAAACAGUGUGCGCUAAACAACAGCCGACA